UUCCGACAAAGUACAAAUGUUCCAAAAAACAUACAAAACACGUUUGGUUCCCAAGGGUAAUACAAUGGUUUGCCUACCAUCGGGGAAUAACGACAAAGAAACGCGUGCUUGCGCAACAAUGUGUCCCAUUUUGCACACGGCUUUAAUUUGUCGAUGCUGCUAAGUGAACACAAUGAAGUGAACACAAAGAAAAUGUAAACAAGACAACAAGAAUAACGCCACAACGUACCUUAUAAUUCUUGUGCUGCACUUCAGUCUUGCAAUGUUGGCAGGUGGUUGUUCUUUUUGAGCAUUCUUUCUUCAAAUGAUGCUCCAAAACUUUUCUCUCCACAUUUUGGUUGCAGCCUUUUGGACAUGGAACUUCAACAAACUCACACGUUUUCAAAUGUUCCUGGAAAGAAUGACAACGAUAGUAACAUCAUGGAUUGUAAAAUAACUGGAUAGGAAACUUCCUGACGUCACAGUCUAAACCUAGUUGCAAUCUGUGACGUCAUGUGUAUUGCGAAAAUUUUCAGCAUUUUUGUUGUUUCGCUAUAUUUUCCGCUUCAAAAGAGUAAUAUUGAAGCAUAAACUGGUCUAAUUGUUUUAAAAACAUGCCUAAGCCACGACAAAGUAUUCAAGGUAAAUGUUUUUCAUCUUUGUUUUGUAUUUUUUUACAUUUGUAGCUACGAAAUUGGCGUCGCCAAUUUUUACGAAAUUUGCGAUGCAUUUUUCACUGUUUAGUGCUUGAAAUAUUUGCUAAAAUUGACCGGGAAUACUUAGAUAUUUCAUCGUAGAAUGGCUUAGUCAUAUUUAUUUGCUCUUUGACUAAAAUGUUUAGCUGUAUUAUCGCUAAACAUGCCGUUUUUGAGAAUUUGGUUUGCAACUAGGUUGCAACGCCAUCAUCCCAA